GAUGAACGCUAGCGGCAGGCCUAACACAUGCAAGUCGAGGGGUAACUAGAGUGAUAGCAAUAUUACUUUGGCUAGACCGGCGCACGGGUGCGUAACACGUAUGCAACCUACCUUAUACUGGGGAAUAACUUCGAGAAAUCGGCGCUAAUACCCCAUAACAUUGCGAAGAGGCAUCUCUUUGCAAUUAAAGCUCCGGCGGUAUAAGAUGGGCAUGCGUCCAAUUAGCUAGUUGGUGAGGUAACGGCUCACCAAGGCUACGAUUGGUAGGGGUUCUGAGAGGAGGAUCCCCCAAGCAGGUACUGGGAAACGGACCAGACUCCUACGGGAGGCAGCAGUGAGGAAUAUUGCGCAAUGGACGAAAGUCUGACGCAGCCAUGCCGCGUGCAGGAUGACGGCCCUAUGGGUUGUAAACUGCUUUUGUACGGGAAUAAACCCUUCUACGUGUAGGAGGCUGAAGGUACCGUAAGAAUAAGCACCGGCUAACUCCGUGCCAGCAGCCGCGGUAA
rnacentral:rRNA from 1 species